rnacentral:tRNA from 1 species
GUUUUAGUAGUUUAAUAAAAAUUUUAGUUUUGUAAACUAAAGAUGUUUUCCUAAAAUAA